rnacentral:rRNA from 1 species
UACGUAGGGACCAAGCGUUGUUCGGAUUUACUGGGCGUAAAGGGCGCGUAGGCGGCGUGGUAAGUCAAUUGUGAAAUCUCCGAGCUUAACUCGGAACGGUCAAUUGAUACUGCUGUGCUAGAGUACAGAAGGGGCAAUCGGAAUUCUUGGUGUAGCGGUGAAAUGCGUAGAUAUCAAGAGGAACACCUGAGGUGAAGACGGGUUGCUGGGCUGAUACUGACGCUGAUGCGCGAAAGCUAAGGUAGCAAACGGG